GCCGGGCGUGGUGGCACACGCCUGUAAUCCCAGCUACUCAGGAGGCUGAGGCAGGAGAAUUGCUUGAGCCCGGGAAGCGGAGGUUGCAGCGAGCCGAGAUUGUGCCACUGCACUCCAGCCUGGCCAACAGAGCAAGACUCUGUCUCAA
rnacentral:SRP_RNA from 1 species